rnacentral:rRNA from 1 species
GAUGCUGCCGAGAAAAGCCUCUAGUGAGUUCAUACACGGCCCGUACCCCAAACCGACACAGGUGAUCAGGUAGAGAAUACCAAGGCGAUCGAGAGAACUGUGGUUAAGGAACUCGGCAAAAUGCCCCCGUAACUUCGGGAGAAGGGGGACCAUGCCCGGUGAACAUCUUCACGGUGGGAGCUGGGUGUGGUCGCAGAGACCAGAGAGAAGCGACUGUUUACUAAAAACACAGGUCCGUGCGAAGACGUAAGUCGAUGUAUACGGACUGACGCCUGCCCGGUGCUGGAAGGUUAAGAGGACCGGUUAGCCGUAAGGCGAAGCUGAGAAUUUAAGCCCCAGUAAACGGCGGUGGUAACUAUAACCAUCCUAAGGUAGCGAAAUUCCUUGUCGGGUAAGUUCCGACCUGCACGAAUGGCGUAACGACUUCUCUGCUGUCUCGACCACAGACUCGGCGAAAUUGCACUACGAGUAAAGAUGCUCGUUACGCGCGGCAGGACGAAAAGACCCCGGGACCUUUACUAUAGCUUGGUAUUGGCGUUCGAUUCGGUUUGUGUAGGAUAGGUGGGAGACUGUGAAGCAUGCACGCCAGUGUGUGUGGAGUCGUUGUUGAAAUACCACUCUGAUCGUAUUGGACGUCUAACCUCGGCCCAUGAUCUGGGUUAGGGACAGUGCCUGGUGGGUAGUUUAACUGGGGCGGUUGCCUCCUAAAGAGUAACGGAGGCGCCCAAAGGUUCCCUCAGCCUGGAUGGCAAUCAGGUGUUGAGUGCAAGUGCACAAGGGAGCUUGACUGUGAGACUGACACGUCGAGCAGGGACGAAAGUCGGGACUAGUGAUCCGGCACCGGCAAGUGGAAGCGGUGUCGCUCAACGGAUAAAAGGUACCCCGGGGAUAACAGGCUGAUCUUCCCCAAGAGUCCAUAUCGACGGGAUGGUUUGGCACCUCGAUGUCGGCUCGUCGCAUCCUGGGGCUGGAGUAGGUCCCAAGGGUUGGGCUGUUCGCCCAUUAAAGCGGCACGCGAGCUGGGUUUAGAACGUCGUGAGACAGUUCGGUCUCUAUCCGCCGCGCGCGUAAGAAACUUGAGGAAGGCUGUCCCUAGUACGAGAGGACCGGGACGGACGAACCUCUGGUGUGCCAGUUGUUCCACCAGGAGCAUGACUGGUUAGCUACGUUCGGAAGGGAUAACCGCUGAAAGCAUCUAAGCGGGAAGCCUGUUCCAAGAUGAGGUUUCUCACCACCUUGCGUGGUUAAGGCCCCCUACAGACCAUGGGGUUGAUAGGCCGGAACUGGAAGCGCAGCAAUGCGUGGAGGUGACCGGUACUAAUAGGCCGAGGGCC